rnacentral:snoRNA from 1 species
AGUAGGCAAGGAUGAUGAUGCGAUUAGAUGCGUGAGGGGGAGAAUUCCUCUAUGAGCAUAACUUACGAGGCUUAUUGAUAUUCUGACUUGCCUACG